rnacentral:lncRNA from 1 species
CUAGAGAAAAAUCUUCAAGACAUUAAGGAAGACAACAGUUCUCUCUCUUAAGACAGAGAAACACAUAAAAUCACAGGCAUUUGUGGGCUGUCAGAGUCCCAUGUGAUAAACACUGGCACUUUCAUGCACAUUUUUGCAUCUCUGCUGGUACCCUCUGCACUAACAUCCUGCAGGUCCUCUUCCCUCCCCUUUACAAACUUAGACAAACAAUAUGACCAUCUUAACUUUAAAAAAGGGGGCAAACCAGGUCCAGGGAAGAUGCAGUGUAGGGUUUUUUUUUUUUUUUCUCAAUCUUUUCUUCUGUUCCCUAAUCCUGGACCUCACUUUCUCCACUGAGAGGCCCAGGAGGUCACGGUUAGUAAAGAUAUGAAAUUAAAUGAAUGACAAUCCUGUGUAAAUGGAGAUAUUUUCCAAGGAAAGUUGCUGUUUUGCUUGUUGAGUCACUGAUUAAUUCAACAAACAUUUGUCAAAUGAUUAUCUAUCAGUGGCUAUGCUAAGCACUGGUGUGCCAACUUCCACUGACCACCCCUAAAUUGAAUAAACAAAUCAUAGCCUAGUGGGACAAUGGACACAUAAGUGACACAAUUAAGAUACAGUAUGAUGAGGGAGGUGCUAUGCAUCAUUAAACCAAAAGGGAGGAAAAUUAACACAGACAAAAGAGAGUAAGCUGAGGUUUCUUGGAGGAGAGAAACACAUAGACUCAUAAUGUGGGGCUUCUACCUGCCAGGGCUUCUGCUUGAAGCUCAUCUUCCAUCAUCCUGGGGCUUCCCAGUGGGGGACUCGCAUUUGUCACUUCUCUUUUCUUGUUUUACCCUCAGCCGUGGUGCUGCAUCCUCUCUGGCUUCUGCUCACUGAGGGGCAAAGCCCAUGAGCUGUCACUGCUAAAGUCUGCAGGGGAAGCUGUGGUUGUAAUUCAUAUGCUAGUGCUGUUGGACUGACUGAAGCCACCGUCUCUGGGCUAGACCUAGCACAGGCCUCGGCACUGAAUAAAGGCUGCUGAAAUGAAUUGGAUUGCUGCUCAUCCCUUUUAUCCCCUGCUUGAGCCUGCUGCAACAUUAAUUUUGAAUGAUGGCUUUCCCCACUGUUCCUGCUGCCAUCUACGGCAUAUGCCACCAAUCAGAGAAGAUGUAUGCUCUCACUUUCUCUCAGGGGAAAUAGCUCUGAAAGUUUUUUGGUUAGCUGAUCCCUCUCUUCAGAAUGCAGGGGCAUCUGGGCAGUGGAUUCUUCUCCUGCUCUAGUCAGGAGAAAAAUAAAUAAAAGCCUCACUUCUGACCCCAAAGUAUUGGCUUUGGACAAAAUUUUUGUGGCUCGAUGCUCCCUUUCCAAGAAUAAAAUCUUUUUCAAGACUAUAUCUAGUCUGUCAUGCAAAUAGAAUUCAAAUGGCUUAGCAAAGCCAGCCCUCCAGAUCCCUGCAGACACAUGGAAUUCUCCAGAGAAUCCACUUUAAAAUCAAAGAAGUGUAAAAAGUAAAAGUAGGGGAAAAACUACAGAAAGGCGGGGCACAAAAAACGAUUGCAUGGAGAGCAGAGGACUUAUUAUCCCUACCUAAUGUCAUUCUCCUGCACCUCAACAUUACAGAUUCUCCGAUUCAACUCCUAAAAGAAUCUUUUCUUUGUCCAAAGGGAGUAGGUACUGGCUGAAAUUUCUGAAGGAAACUCAUUGGUUUUGGGUCUUUUCCCCACUUGGGUCACUAUGAAAACUAACUGAUGUGACGCUGCCUUUAAGUAGAUGAACAAAAAUAAGAGUUUGGGAUUGGUCCCCUGCAGAGUGGUGAGAAAGAAUAAGAAUGGUUAGCUAAGGUGAUUGUCCUACAGGAGGUUUAAUAUAUUUCUUUUUUAACUAGGGAAAAUCUGGUCCCAGAUGAAACUCCAGAAUACCAUAACAUUUAGAAUAGCCUAAUAUAUAGCAAUGACUUUUAAAUUUGGUGAUAGAAGAUGACUUGUAAUUAAAUAUCAGUGACUGCUUUUACAUAAAAUAUUUGCAUACUUUUUUCCUGAUGGUUUCUUUUUGCAAAUAUCUAGAACCCUUGGCUUGAAUGAUGACUUUCAUGUUAGAAUUGAUAUCUUUGGGGUUUCUCUGAAUAUAACUGGGCACAUUUUAGACGUACAACACUUAUUUGUUAAAUUACAUUGAAUAACAUUUGAAAUUAUAUCGUUUACUUGGCUUAAACCCUUGGACUUUCAAGGAACAGAUUACUGUAACUCAGCAAUGUUUUAGCUACAAAAUAAGAAGUGUGCAGCCUGAACACAGUUGCUGUCUUUUUAUUAUUUCUCAUUUUGAUACAUUUCUUAUGCUGUUGGCUAUUUUAUUAGUACCCCCUGUUGCAAAAUAUUUUUCUUUAGCGUUGUAUCUUAAUAACCAUCAAGGUGGCUUACCCAGGGUUUUCUAAUGCUCAGCACGCCCAGGAAUUGUAAUAUGGUAAAUGUCAUGUGGGCAAAGUGAUUGCGUUUAAAAAAAAAUCUGUCAGUGACUGCAUUUUUUUCCUGUUAUUUAGGCAUAUUGAUAAUAUAUAGACAGCCUCCUUUAGGAAAUAUGUCAUGAUUUUUGAUGUAUCUUUUCUUAUCGAUUAUAACUUAGAAUUUUUUAAAAAGUCCUUUAAAAAAUCCAUAUCUAAAUUUGGAAGGCCGAGUUUUGUAAUUUCAAACACAUUACUCCAUUUUUAGAAGUGCCUUGUUUGAUUAAGCUCAUUAGCUUGGGUAUAUGGGCAAAAGCCAUUGCAACUAAAUUAAUUUUGUAUAAAACAAUUGUUGUUUCUUAUCAGCUUCUCUUUCAAUGUGUUCUUCUAAGUGAAUAUUUUACGUGGGAACAAAUACAAACACAGUUUUUAUCAUCUUGUGACGUGUAAAGGAUGAUAGACUAUAUGUUUCCAAUAUAACUUUUAUUUAUACAACCAUUAUUUACACAAUGUGUGGUUAUAUUUAUUAUUUAUUGUUUUCACCACCCCUCAUUCCUCAAAAGCUUAGAAACAGCUUACAAUAAUAUAUACAAUGAUAUGUGAUGCAUAUACUUUGGAAAAUUCAUUAAGAAUCUGCCAAAUUAAUUCAAUACUGAUAAAUGUUGUAAAGAUAAUAAAUGCCUG